rnacentral:rRNA from 1 species
UGAAAGCCCCGGGCUUAACCUGGGAAUUGCAUCCGAUACUGCAUGGCUAGAGUUUGGUAGAGGCUAGCGGAAUUCCAGGUGUAGCGGUGAAAUGCGUAGAUAUCUGGAGGAACAUCAGUGGCGAAGGCGGCUGGCUGGCCCCGAUACUGACGCUCAGGCCCGAAAGCGUGGGGAGCAAACGGGGUUAGAUACCCCGGUAGUCCACGCCGUAAACGUUGUGCACUAGGUGUGGGAGGUAAUAGACCCCUUCCGUGCCGCAGCUAACGCAUUAAGUGCACCGCCUGGGGAGUACGGUCGCAAGACUGAAACUCAAAGGAAUUGACGGGGGCCCGCACAAGCGGUGGAGCAUGUGGUUUAAUUCGAGGCAACGCGAAGAACCUUACCCAGGCUUGACAUCCCGGGACCGCCUGUGAAAGCAGGUUUCCUCUUCGGAGGCCCGGUGACAGGUGUUGCAUGGCUGUCGUCAGCUCGUGUCGUGAGAUGUUGGGUUAAGUCCCGCAACGAGCGCAACCCUUGUCCCUAGUUACCAGCGGUUCGGCCGGGCACUCUAGGGAGACUGCCGGUGGUAAGCCGGAGGAAGGUGGGGACGACGUCAAGUCAUCAUGCCCCUUACGUCCAGGGCUGCAAACAUGCUACAAUGGCUGGUACAACGGGCUGCUAUCCCGCGAGGGUGAGCGAAUCCCAUAAAGCCAGUCUCAGUUCGGAUUGGAGUCUGCAACUCGACUCCAUGAAGCUGGAGUCGCUAGUAAUCCCGGAUCAGCAUUGCCGGGGUGAAUACGUUCCCGGGCCUUGUACACACCGCCCGUCACACCACGGAAGUUGGUAACGCCCGAAGCCGGUGGCCUAACCCUUUUGGGAGGGAGCCGUCGAAGGUGGGAUCAGCGAUUGGGGUGAAGUCGUAACAAGGGUAAC